CAGUCGCCGCGGGAAUACGUAGGGUGCGAGCGUUAAUCGGAAUUACUGGGCGUAAAGCGUGCGCAGGCGGUUUUGUAAGACAGAGGUGAAAUCCCCGGGCUUAACCUGGGAACUGCCUUUGUGACUGCAAGGCUAGAGUACGGCAGAGGGGGAUGGAAUUCCGCGUGUAGCAGUGAAAUGCGUAGAUAUGCGGAGGAACACCGAUGGCGAAGGCAAUCCCCUGGGCCUGUACUGACGCUCAUGCACGAAAGCGUGGGGAGCAAACAGGAUUAGAUACCCGCGUAGUCCCUGUCUCUUAUAC
rnacentral:rRNA from 1 species